rnacentral:rRNA from 1 species
GACGAACGCUGGCGGCGUGCUUAACACAUGCAAGUCUACGAGAAUAAGGUAGCAAUAUCUUUAGUAAAGUGGCGCACGGGUGAGUAACACGUAAGUAACCUACCUUUAGAUUUGGAAUAACCCCGAGAAAUCGGGGCUAAUACCGAAUGAUGCAGCGGCACCACAUGGUGAUGUUGUUAAAGUCUAUAUGACGUCUAAAGAUGGGCUUGCGUCUGAUUAGCUAGUUGGUGAGGUAACGGCUCACCAAGGCUACGAUCAGUAGCUGGUCUGAGAGGAUGAUCAGCCACACUGGAACUGAGACACGGUCCAGACUCCUACGGGAGGCAGCAGUGAGGAAUAUUGGGCAAUGCCCGAAAGGGUGACCCAGCAACGCCGCGUGGAGGAUGAAUGCCGUAAGGUUGUAAACUCCUGUUAGAGGGGAAGAAAAAUCUCGAUCAAAUCGAGAACUGACUGUACCCUCAGAGAAAGCCCCGGCUAACUACGUGCCAGCCGCCGCGGUAAGAC